rnacentral:SRP_RNA from 1 species
GCCGGGCAUGGUGGUACAUCCCUGCAAUACCAGCUACUCAGGAGGCUGAGGCAGGAGAAUCUCUUGAACCAGGGAGGCGGAGGUUGCAAUAAGCCAAGAUCGCACCACUGCACUCCAGCCUGGGCGACAAAGCGAGACUUCGUCUCAAAAAAAAAAAAAAAAAGGAAAUGGAGUCUCACUCUAUCGCCCAGCCUGGAGUGCAGUAGUGCAAUCUUGGCUUAUUGCAACCUCCGCCUCCCUGGUUCAAGAGAUUCUCCUGCCUCAG